CCGUUGUACACACCGCCCGUCACACCAUGGGAGUUGGGUUUACCCGAAGGUGGUGCGCUAACCCGCAAGGGAGCAGCCAACCACGGUAGGCUCAGCGACGUGGGUG
rnacentral:rRNA from 1 species